rnacentral:sRNA from 1 species
AAUCCAGACUUGGAACUGCCAGGAGACUGGAACUCAGGACUUAGCUACAAAGAGAAAUGAAUAAUUUGGGAUAGCAUAACUAAGCAGAAAGCUGCUAGACCUAUCUAUCAAUUGUUUACCUGAGAGAAGAGGGAAAUAUUCUAAAUUUCUUGCUUCAGGGUCAGGGAGAAUGGUGAUGGGCAACAGGCAGAACCAAAGAGUCAAGUUUGAAGAAACUAUAGGACUUUUACUUGGAGCUGACACAGAGCGUAUGGAGCGAAGUGUGAACUCAAGGAAGGCACCAUGGCACAUGCCUAUUGUCCCAGCAAGUCGGGAGUCUGAGACAGGAGGGUCACUUGAGUCCAGGGCUUUGAGGCUGCAGUGAAGUUAUGAUCAUGCCUGUAAACAGCCACUGCACUCCAACCUGGGCACCAUAGUGAGACCCUAUCUCAAAAAAAAAAAAAGUCUGAACUGAAGUCUAAUCUACCUCUUUUGGACUGUGCGAUCUCAUGUUACUUUAUUACAUUAAGCCUCAGUUUCAUCAUGUGUAAAACAGCAGUACUUCCCUGAUGGAGUUGUGGUAAGGCUUAAAAAAUAGGUAAGGUGCUUAGGAUAGUGUGUGGCAUGUAGGAAGUGUGCAAUAAAAGUAUUCAUUGUUGUUAACCAGCAUCACAUUAAACAGGAGAGCUCAAUUGGAGGCUGCCAUUUAGGAAUUCCAUUUAAAGGAAUGGUAGAAUUCCACCUGUCUUGCCAUUCUGGACUCCUCACAAGUGUUUACUGAAAUGUGAUUACCCUCCAGGCUUCAGUCUUGGUUGUUGAUCAGUCUAGGGCUGAGACUGAAUCUGGCACUUGGAUUGUCUCCAUUCUCUGCACCCAAGCUGUCAGGGCCCUCACCAGAAUGUUUACCUAACACCUUCUCUCUAGUCUGGAGUCUUUGUAGAUGGAAAACUUGAUGUAUAACCCUUUGACUUGAUUUCCAAGAAGUAACAGAGUUAAAACCGUUAUUUCUAGGUGAGUGGUUUCAUGCAGUUGUGGUCAGGUAUUUUUCCUCACAGAGGCUACUGUUCUUGUUGAUUGCUUUUUCUUUCUUCUUUUUUUUUUUUUUUUUUUUUUUGAGACAGUCUCGCUCUGUCACCCCGGCUGGAGUACAGGUGUACAAUCUCAGCUCACUACAAACCUCCACCUCCCAGGUUCAAGCUAUGUUCCUGCCUCAGCCUCCCGAGUAGCUGAGACUACAGGUGCAUGCCAGCAUGCCUGGCUAAUUUUUUUGUUUUUUUAGUAGAGACAGUGUUUCACCAUGUUGGCCAGGCUGGUCUUGAACUCCUGACCUCAAAUGAUCUGCCCACCUUGGCCUCCCAAAGUGCUGGGAUUACAGGCGUGAGCCACCACGCCCAGCCUGUUCUUGCUGACUAUUGGCUUUAUUUUCUUCUUAAACAUUUUAGAACAGUCCACAGGAAGAGGUUGAACUAAAGAAGUUGAAACAUUUGGAGAAGUCUGUGGAGAAGAUAGCUGACCAGCUGGAAGAGUUGAAUAAAGAACUUACUGGAAUCCAGCAGGGUUUUCUGCCCAAGAAUUUGCAAGCUGAAGCUCUCUGCAAACUUGAUAGGAGAGUAAAAGCCACAAUAGAGCAGUUUAUGAAGAUCUUGGAGGAGAUUGACACACUGAUCCUGCCAGAAAAUUUCAAAGACAGUAGAUUGAAAAGGAAAGGCUUGGUAAAAAAGGUUCAGGCAUUCCUAGCCGAGUGUGACACAGUGGAGCAGAACAUCUGCCAGGAGACCGAGCGGCUGCAGUCUACAAACUUUGCCCUGGCCGAGUGAGGUGCAGCAGAAAAAGGCUGUGCUGCCCUGAAGAAUGGCGCCACCAGCUCUGCCGUCUCUGGAGCGGAAUUUACCUGAUUUCUUCAGGGCUGCUGGGGGCAACUGGCCAUUUGCCAAUUUUCCUACUCUCACACCGGUUCUCAAUGGAAAAUAGUGUCUUUGUGAUUUUGAGUAAAGCUCCUGUCUGUUUUCUC